rnacentral:misc_RNA from 1 species
UGCUGGCUCUCAGUAGUGCAAAUGGAGUGAGGAUGAUCGUGUGUCGGGGGACGGCCGCUCGUGGAAUUGACGCAGCAAAAUGGGCGACAGAGCCAGGAGCCUCACCAUCGACGGCGUGCGGCUCAUCAAGGACCUCAAGGUGGUCGAGCUCAAGGCCGAGCUAGAACGCCGAGGCCUAUCCAAGUCGGGCAGCAAGAAGGAACUGGUGGAACGUUUACGGAGUAGUGUACAAUUUGAGAACACAAAAUCCAAGGCAACUGCUGCUAUAAGUGAGGAGGAAGUUCCCAAUAGAUGGUUGCAAAAUGAAGCCAACUUAGACAACGACUUUAUCCGUGAAUAUUUCCAGUCCCAGCAGGCCCUCUACAGGCAGCAAAUUGAAGCUAGAAGACAGUACAGAGAAACCAGUGGAGAAGGAGCAACUCCAGCAACUCCUUCAGCGGCUCUACCCUCAGUCCAGCAGGUGGCUGUUGGGGGCCCUCAGCAGUCUGGCAAAGCCACCCCUUCAUCUCUCACUACCCCUCCUGUGACUCCUCCAGCAACAGUAGCAGCAGGAGGAGGAACAGCUAGUGUUGGCCGAGCUCACACACAUACUGUGAGCAAAACCACUCCAGAUCUAUCUGCAGUUGCAAGCUCAGGUCCUGCUCACAAGCCAUCCCCAAGCCCCUCCGUCAGAAGCUCCUUGGCUGCCGGCGGAACCUCACUGUCAUCUGGUGGACAAACUCCUGCAGGAAGAGAGGGCACUGCAAAGGCUUAUGCAAACACAUUGGUUGGUACUGCAUCUCAUAUAAAUACUGGUGAAACUGCAGUACCUUCCUCCACAAAAACUCCACCUAGAGAGAAGCCACCGACGCAGCUCACCCUUAAGGUUAAAUUAAAAAAUGAUGCCACAGCAGUAACCACCCCACAAACACCUUCAACAUCAUCAAGUUCCAGUAGACCUAGUAGAAGUUCAGCACGUGCUGCUCGAGAGCUCAGCAGAGUCUCACUUGAAGACUCAGAGGAGGAAGAUGACUCUGAGGGAAGGGAGGAACGUCAGCCACCAGUGAGGCGUUCUAGGAAGCGAUCAGCGCGGCACGCGCAGACCCCAGAGGACCCUGACUUCGUUGCAGCUGGCACCAGCCUCUUGAGCAGUCCCCCGAGCAGUGAUCUCAAAGACAGAGUGCCGUCUCUUAGGAUUAAGUUACCUGAACCUGUGCCUAAUGUGAAUUUAAGUAUUUCAACAACAGUUGAUGAAAAACCAAAGAAAAGAAUAGAGAGUGUAUCUAUUAAUAGGAAAGAACCUAAUAGUUUAUUGGAUGCAAAGUGCAGACGCCCCGUUCAUAGCAUUAGGAAGCAUGUGAAUGACCCUCCACAAGACUCUGAAGGCUCGCUCAACAGAGAGACCUUAGUACCUGAUGUAAGUGUUAGAUCCGCUGGUGAUAAUCUGAAAAAUCCAUGUCUUCAGGAAGGACCGAAGCCCCUUGGGAAGAGCGGAUGCAGUGUUGGUGAUUCCAAGAAUGCAAAAGAUUCGUCGGUCAAACCUGAUUCUCCUGUGCCAUUAGACUGGUUGAAAAGAUCGCUCAGGACUAACCCUAAAAAACACGAACCCAGUGAGGCCGGUUCAAAUCCACAGGGACCAGACUAUGCAAGUUUACAACCGACGGUUUCGCUGAGACGUUUAGAGAGUGCGCCCAGCACAGAGAGACAAAUUGCCAAAGAUGAACCAGUAGUGAGCCCUGUUAGCUUGAGUCGGAAAAGCCCAAGUGCUAGUGAAAGCCAAGAACCAGAGAGAAAAGCAGAAAGAGAAAGUUCUGCAAAGAGAGAGAAUGCCAGAAAUCAGUUAGAAAGCAAAGCUGGAAAUAAACUUUUGAGUGCAAGUGCAGAGGAAAGAUUAGAGGCUUGCAGUUCCAUAACCAUUUCAAAAGUUGAUGCUCGUCAAAGAAAAGAACCAAGUGAUUUGAACACCAGUAAAGAAGUAGAGUCAUCAACAUUAAGAACGCUCCUUACAGGUGAAAAUAAAGACAUUGUGUUAGUAGCAAACAAGAAUAAAUCUACAGCUGUUGAUGCACAAGACCAGCCUGACCAGAAGCAUUUGCCCAGUUUGAAAAGUCCUCAGCAGAGAUCAAAAAGCACAGAAGACCCAAGUGUUAGUGCAUUAAGUUUGGUAACAGUGCCCCAAGGAGAGAGUUUGUCCAGCACUAAACAGAGUGUAGGAAGAACGAUUGGGGAAACUCAAGUUAAAACUGUGAUAUAUGAGUCCAGUGAUCCAGAAUGGAAAACUGAUAGUACAAAGCCACAUUCUGAUUGCAAAUUCUCAAAAGAAACUGCCGAAAAGAAGGAACUUGAUAAACAGAGUCAAGUUGUUCAAGACGUCACUCAAGGGCCAUCUGUUAAAAGGGACCCCAGUGUUUUAGAGGAAAACUCAAAGCCAGGGGUUGAAUGCACCACAUCAACUGGAACAGCAGUUGCACCAGCACCCAAGGCAGCUAAUUUACCAACUGGUCCACUCAAAACAAAAAUCUGGGAAAAAUUGCUGACAACAGCGCAGAAGAAAGGAGACGUUUCCAAAGACACCCCAAGAGACUCGACCAAAAAGGAGGAAAAAGAAGAAACUCCACCACAGGCUCAGCAGACUGACCAGGAAAUAAAAACAGAAACUGGUGUUAAGAAAGAAUUUGACAAGGACAGACAGACACCAGAAGAAACUUGCUCUGGCCAAGACUCGGAGAGCCUUGAGGAGUCUGAUGAAAAUCCCUCUCAAGCCACAGAUGUGAAAGCACAUGUAAAAACCAGGACCCAGAUAACUGAAGCUGUGCACAAACCUUGUGAUUUGCCUGAGGAGAGCACUGAAAAGGCAUGUCACAAGAGUGAGACAGGUGAUGUCGUCCCAGAAGCCAAUACAAAGGAAGAAUUAAAAGAGAGUUCCUUGUCUGAAGGUCAGCCUGUGCCCCAGAAGGAUACGCUUAUUCCAGAAACUAAGAAGAAAGUUACUGAAGCCCCAAAAGUCUUGGAAGUAAAUGUCCUUGGUAAACCAGCACAUCCAGUUGGAAAAUCAAAAUUGAGUCCAACUUUAAAUACACAUCCUGUCACUUUGUCUAAAACUUCUUGUGAAACUCCAACCUCAACAAGUUGGAGAAAAGAGACUGUUUUUAAGAUAGAAGAAACUGAACCAGUUUUAAAAGAAGAGGCCAAGGAAAGUGUCCCAUCCAAAGAGGAAAAAUUAGGAGAAGCCAGCAAGAAACAUAAAAACGAAAGCACAGAUAUCUCGAGCCAUAUAAAAGAAACCGUUGAACCAGAUACUGCCAGACCGCCUAAGGAGGAGCAGACUGGUAAAGAGUCCUCAGAUUCAGAUAAGAGUAAGCAGUCUGAUAAAGGUCAAUCAAGUGAGAGUAAAAGCAAUAAAGUCUCUAGAGAAAAUCUACCUGAACAGGAAUCAGACACAGAGAAGAAGCCAGAGUUAAGUAAUCCAACAGAAUCACAACCAGACCCAUUGGUACUACCAGUUUCUGAGAAGUUACUGCCACCUAUUACCAAGAGUGGGUCACACCUCAGUCCUAAAGUUGAAACCCCAGAAACGAUUAUCAGUGUUGAAUCGGCCAAGCCAUUGGAAGACAGAGGAAAGUUCAUCUCUUCCCCAGCUGAUAGAAAGGAUCAACAGGAUACCCAAUCUGCAGAGACUAAGGAUCAAAUAAGUCCUGUUCCAAACACAAGUACCGCAGUAUGCAAGGAAUCUAAUGUGUCCCAGGAGCAAAGUUUUGUCAAAGUAGGAAAAAUCAAGAGUGAAACUGAAAGGCCACUACCUACAGAUACCAGCAUAAAGGAGACUUUUGAUGCUGAAGAAGCAGAGAAGAGGACAGGAAAUCAGCUAUUUGGCCAGAAUCUAAACAAAGUAAAUGUGUCAAGUAGUGAGAAAGAAGGAUCCCAUAUUGAGACUAGUAAUGAAGGAAGAAUAAAUGAAACACCUCUUAUAAGUCAACACAAAUUUUUAGAGUCUGAAACCUACAAGAAAGAAGGAACACACGUCAGAGAAGUUGCAAGCCUUGAGAAAGAUCAAACACAUCAAGUUAAGAGUGUAAGUCCAAGAGAUUCAGCUAUUACAAGCAAAGUUGCUGAGAGUAAAGAUUCAUCAACAUCUACUAAGGUUACACUUUGUGAAUCAGAAUCAGUUCCCAAAGUGAAAGUAGAGGAUAAGGAAAAAGAACAGUCCUCGACAUCCAAUCAGACACUUACUGAGAGGGAUCAAACCAUCUCAAACAAAGUUUCAGGUGUGAAAAAUCCUCCUGUUUCAAGCAGAUUAACAUCUAAUGAAGAUACAACAGUUUUCUCCAUUAAAGAUCUACUGAAGAGAGAAGAAGUCCCUGUAGACAAAACUGAUCCAAGUCUCACAAGCAAAGCUUUGAGUAGCAAGGAAGAACCAACUGUAAAAAACAAAGUUUCAGCAGUCAAAGAUUCAAGCAGUGAGAAAGAUUCUUCAUCUGUAGCAGAACUUUCAUCUUGUGUAACAGAUUUAACUCCUGAAGUUGUAAAAAGGGAGAAGAAAACAGCCUUCACUUCAGAAGUUCCUGGUGAAAAAGGCCCAACUACAACAUCUGCCACUCUAAGUAGUGAGAAAGAAUUGCCUUUGACAAGUGAAGUCCCCAGUAGGAAAAGAGAACCAGAAAUCUCAUCUGAAGUCACAACUGAAGUUUCCACUUCAGAAGAAAAAGCUGGAAUUUCAACUUGUGAGGGACAAUUACCUGUCACAACUGAAGUUCCCAGUCAAGAGAUAAAACCAACAGUUAUAUCAGAAGUUUCUAUUGAAAAGAAAGAGCUUGACCUCAUAGGGGAACUCCAGAUUUGUAAAAAAGAACCAACAGUUGCAACAGGUCUUAGUAGUGAGAGAGAGCUAUCUGAGACAUUAGAAGUUCCCAAUACUAAACCAACUACUGCAGCUGACGUUCUUAGUCAGGAGAACAAAAUCACUGUCACACACAAAGUUUCCAGUAGUCAGAAAGAAUCACUUCCCACAACUAGCAUUUCCAGUGGUGAAAAAAGACCAGGAAUCACAUCGGAAGUUCCUAAUAGGGUGAAAGAACCAUCUGAUACCUCUAAGAUUCUCAGCAGUGAGAUAGAACCAUCUGUGACAACUGCAGUUCUCACUAAAGAAAUAAAAACCGUACACACACCUACAGUUCUUAUUACUGAGAAAGAACCAACUGAAACCAGUAACAAAGAACAAACUGAGACAUCUGAACCAACUACAACCUUUAAAGCAUUCAGUACUAAAAAAGAACCAGCUGACACAUUUAAAGUUUUUAGUAACAAAGAAGAACAAACUGUAACUGAACCUCUGAGUAGUGAGAAGAAAUUGGCUGUAACUACAGAAACUCCAACUAGUGAACAAGAACCAGCUGUAAUACCUAAAGCCUUAGCUAGUGAGCAAGAACCAGCUGUAAUACCUAAAGCCUCAGCUAGUGAGCAAGAACCAGCUGUAAUACCUAAAGCCUCAGCUAGUGAGGAAGAACCAGCUGUAAUAUCAAAAGUUUCUGCUUGUGAAACAGCACCAGUUAUACUAUCAAAAGCUUUCACUACUGAGAAAGAACCAGUUCUGAUAUUGAAAGCUUCGGCUUGUGAGAAAGAAUCGACUGUAAUAUCAAAAGCUUCUGCUAGAGAAAAAGAACUGCCUUUAAUAUCAAAAGAUUCCACUACAGAGAAAAAACCUGCUGAAAUAUCAAAAGAUUCCACUAGUGUGAAAGAACCAGCUGAAAUAUUGAAAGCUUCUGCUAGUGAGAAAGAACCAGCUGUAAUAUCCAAAACUUCCACUUGCGAGAAGAAAUCAGCUGUUCUACCAAAAGCUUCCACCAGUGAGAAAGAACCAGCUGUUGUGCCAGAAAUUCCUGGUAGUGAGAAAGAGAUAGUUCCAGAAAGCACAUCUGAGAACACUGAAAGUGAAUCUGGACUCGCAAGUAAAGUUGCAAGUAGCGAGACCAAUAAACAACAAAGCAAGAGUCCCACAAUCUGUCUGCUUCCAGAUUCUAAAAGUAGUUCACCUGAAGCAGACGCAUCCAGUAGUGAUUUGGACUUGAAGGCAGAAAUUGCGAAAGAAUCAAAGGAACCAGGGGAGCCACAGAAACUCCCAGAAGCAGAGACAUACCUUUCAAAGACCAGUGCCCAGGAACUUGCACUUGAGGAAAGAAAAAGUCAAACUGCUUCUGAAAGUACAAGUGUCCCGAGCAUUCCAAGCCAGCCCUCUAAAGAUGCAGUAAAUGAGACCAAGUCUUUUUUAGAUCCAGAGGUUGCAGGUAAUUCUGAAAAGUCUGAUCCACAAGACAAAGUAUCAAGUAGCCACAAAUCUGUUCCUUCAGAUAAGAAAGUAAUCACAGCACGAGAGGAAGGAUCAACGGUUGUGGUUGUAGAUAAUCAUAAAGAAAAGGAAUCAAAAGAAGACUCAGAAGAGUGUCACAAAGAGCUCUCCAUCAAAGUAGGCCAACCAUUGCAAGACCUGAAAACUUUGAAUAACCUCAAAGAUCCUUACAUAGAAUCAAAGGUACCAAAUUGCCAGAGAGUCCUAUCUUCUAGCCAGGGAGAAGGUUUGUUUUGUGUUAAUGAGGAAGAAAAAGUCCUUGAAAACACAUUAGUUGAGUCUACAGGUGUACAAGGCAAGCAGAAGAUUUUAACUCUAGAUUCACAUACUUCCAAGUCAGUUGACAAACAAGAAACUGUAUCUGAUGUUCCAUGUCUAGGAAUUGCUAAGGAGGAUUUUCCUGGAACUACCAAGGCGUCUAAAGCAUUAGAAUCAAAACUUUCUAAGGAAGUAACUAGUGCAAAAGAAGAUAGUUCAGUUUUAGGAGCACCAAGCCAAGAUAUCGGCAAGGAAGAACCAAGUGUAAGAGAGGAAAUAUCCUCUGAUCAGAGAGUACAGCAACCUCCAAAGUUAGUUACUGAUAACAGUUCAGAAAUUGAACUUGGCAGCAGUCAAGCCAGUUGUCUUAAACAAGAAGAGGAGAAAGACCAAGCUUCAGAGACAGAAGACAAAUUGGAAAAAGAAGGUGACAGAAAGCUAUUAAAACCAUCAGAAGAAGAACCUAGUAAAAUCUGUGAGGAUAUUACUCUCCAAAAGAGUGCAUCAUUAUCUAAGAAGAGUGAAUCACAGCAAGAGGACAAACCUGACCAUCUAAUCAAAGAAGAGACAGUCCUACCUUUACAGUGUGAAAGUGUUGAUUCUAAUUUCUCAGAAAAGAGUGAAACAACUGCAACUCAAGAGAAAGACCAUAGUGAUCCAAAAGAUUUGUGUCCAGAAAAGAAACCUUCACCAGAUUCUGAAACUAGAAAGCCUAGUGUAGAAGUACCAUCAAAGACUCUACCUACAGAGGAGCAGAAGAACUCCCAGUGCGACUUCAGAUUACUGGCAGUCCUUACUGAAACGUCUGGGCAGAAGGAUCAGGAUUUAGGAAGCACUGUUCACAAAUCUUCCCUCACACUAACCACGAAAGAUAAACUUACAGAACAAGAAGAGUUUGACAUUCCCUUGAAACUAAAUACAGAAUUAAGAGAAGAUAAAUUACAUUCAUCAGGAGGUACAACUUGUGAUCAGAAAGACUAUAACUGUUCUUUCACCUUUGUCAAGAACCCAACUGGAAGUAUCACAAAGGAAAUCAAGUUUGACACUCCAACUGACAUAGAAGCUGUUGAGUCAAAAUCUUUGAGUAUAUCAGCACCGCCAUCUUAUCAGACUGAUUGUACGAGUGGAAACUCUCCCAGCAUCCCCAUAUCAGAGACUGUUCCCCCAAUCAAGCGAACAGAUAACUUGGACUGUAUCAUUAACUCGUGCGCGCUAGAUAAGAGAGGGCACUUGAACCCUAAAGACACUACAUCAUCUGGUAUACCAUAUCUAGUAUCAAAACCUGUGUCAGAAGAUUGCAAGAACCAAGAAGAUCUAGUGAAAAGGGAUCAGGAGUUGCUUGCAGAUUUAGUAAGAAAGAGGGCCAGAGUAGAACAGAGCAAAGAAUCUGACCCUGAAUCUGAAGAGCAGACAACAGGAACUGGAAGUGAAUCGGAUUCAGACACAUCAGAUAGUGAGAAGAUGGCUCGCAGAAGAAAGACCGAGGCCACUGCUGAGGCUGAGGUGGAGACACCCUCCCGCAGCUCAAGGAGGAGCAAGAGGGUGAGCGAGGCAGCAGCUGCAGCAGUUGAGGAGAACAGCACUGACAGCCCCCAGGAACCAGAAGAGGGGGUUGCACAGAGGGUGUCACAGAGCAGCUCUCGAAGCCUGGGCAAGAAAGAUAGCAGUAAUGGCGAUGUGCAGGAGGAGGAGAAUGUCAGGGCAAGCCGCUCCCGUCGCAACUCCAGGAGCAGAAGUGUCGACAAGGAUAAGGUGAUGGAGAGUGAAGGAGCAAAAACCAGAGGCAGACAUACACGAGAUGAGAGCAUGGACCAAGAGGAGCAAGAGGAGCAGGAGCAGGCACCAGCCACAGCCAGGAGGAGGAGGAAGAGCGGCAGUGUAGAUAAGGACACGCCCAAAACCCCCCUUAGAAGGUCACGACGCAUGUCACGAGGUGGGAGCACAGAACCAGAAGAAGUGGAAGAACCAGCUGAGGUGAAACGUGCUGACGGUGUGGCUAAAAAGCUAGAAAGCAUCCAGGAGUUGAAUGAAAGCCGCAGUGAGACACCAAAGAAAUCGGCUGAGACCAAGGAGCCAUUGCCAUGUGAGAAUUCAAGUCAGGAAUUGCCAUCGAAGGAAGAAAAUGAAGUGUCCACCAAGGACAGUCCAGAUAAAGCUCAGAAUACAGCAAAACCCAAACAAGACUCAAAGGAAAAGGAUGAAGUUGGUGAUCUUUCAAAGGAGAAAAGUAGUGCCGAUACAGAAGAGACGGAAGAAGCCUUAAGUUUGAAAGGAGAGGAAUCUCCCAAGAAGUCGCGAGAUGAUUCACCGAGGAAAUCACGUGAGAAAUCUCCAAGGAAGUCAAGAGAGGACGACCCCCACAAGAAGUCUCGCUUCGAGUCAAACAGAAAGUCCAAGGAUGAAUAUCCAAGAAAUGCAAAGGAAGAAUCCUCCAGCAAAGACAGAGAUGAGAGCUCUGAAGAUGAAGUGACAGGGGAAGGCCCAUCACCACGGAAGCCAGGCUCGAGGGACUCGGAUGAGCACGGUAGGAAGAGAAGCCUCAGUGCUCGGAGUGGUAAUGAGGAGGAAGAGGAGGAGGAGGAGGAGAGCAAGAGUUCCACAAAUGACAAGAAGGAAGGCUCAGUGUCUCGGCCCAGACUACAGAGGAACGAGGUCAAGAUGCUGGAGGUAAAGGCUGAGCAGCUAGAGAAAGGCCAGAAGAAUAGGUCGCGCUCCAGCAGCAGAUCAUCUAAUGGCUCCUCAAGGUCGCCCUCACCAAAGAAGGCCAAACAAGAGCAGCCCAAGGCAAACAGCCGCAGAGAUUCGGAGAGCGGAGAAGAGAGGGACAACCGAAGACGCAGCACUGACAAAAGGCGAGAUUCCUCUAGCAGGAGCAGACGUGACUCUGAGACCUCGAAGGAGGCACCGCGGCCCAAACUCAGCAGGAAUGAAGUGAAGGUUCCAGAGGCUAAGCAAGGGAAGGUGGAAAGAAGAAGCAGAAAGGACGACUCGCCUUCAGAGAGCAGGUCGUCCAGUGAUUCUUCCCGGUCACCUGCCCACAAGAAGCACAAAAAGCGCUCUUCCUCAUCUUCGUCCUCCAGUUCCUCUAGCAACUCUUCCCGCUCGAGGUCGGGCUCUGGACACCGGAAGAGGUUUGGCAGUGCGAGCAAGAAAAAGCCGGAAGCCGACUCUUCAAGGUCUUCCCCGAGCAAGAGGCAAUUCCUAGCUUCCCCCGACCGCUCCAGAGCGAAGGACAACGGCGAGGAGCAUAAGGGACGGCACGGACCCACCUUGCCGGAGAAGAGGAGUCGCCAUUCACGCUCUCGGUCAAGAUCUCCCAAAGCCAAGACUCACAAGCAAGAUGGAAGCUCUCAUGAAUCCAAAAAGGACAGUAGGUCCUGGUCAGACAGUAGAAAGGACAGCCAGAACUCAGACAGGCAACAGCAAGAGGAGGAAGAGAAGGAGAACAAGGAAACUAAGCCUACAAUAGAUUACUCCUCUUUCAAGUCAGUGAGGAAAGUAAGUUUAUCUCGAGGCAAGUCGAAGGAUGAGGAAGCCGAGAAAGAUGCAGACAAGCCAAAGAAGAGGAAGUGGGGAAAUUCAUCUGCUAGGAAAAUGUCAGUGGACAUAUCCUCAGCUUCCCUUAAGACCAUUAUCCCGGAUGUGAAGCCCCUCCUACCCUCGGAACUCCACAUGGGCGAAGACUCUGAACCCGAGUCUGGAGAGGCAAGCGAUGCUGAGGGUCCAGAACCACCCCCCAGCCUGGCUCAGGAGGCCAAGGAAGAGAUAGCAGAGGAGGGCGAGGAGGCCAGACCUAGGCGUGAGGUGCGGGAAGUGUCCCCGGUAGCUGUCAAACAGAGGAAGAGAUCCAAAUCGCCUGAGGAGAAAGCCGUGCGGAAGAUCAGGAUGUACGAAGGACCUCCUGUAAGCAAGCCAGCCAUUCCCGCUGCACGCAACCCGCCUUCCAGAGUAGUUUUCAUUCAGCACUUAGUCAGACCAUUCACCAUCAACCAGCUGCGCGAGUUGCUACAGAGAACUGGUCGAUUAGUGGAGAAUGGCUUUUGGAUUGACAACAUCAAGUCAAAGUGCUUGGCAAUGUACGAGAACGAGGACCAAGCUCAAGAAACCCGUGUCGCUCUGCACGGUGUUAAAUGGCCAAUGUCGAACCCAAAGAAUCUGUUUGUUGAUUUCGCCACCGAGGAUGAGAUGAAGAAGAGGUUUGAGGAGAAUGCCCCUCCUCCCCAGAAGGCCAUAGAGGAGAAAAGAGACGACAAAUGGAAGCGCGAAGGGCCAGUGCGCGAGUGGGACUUGGCGAAAAUAGGAGAGCGCUCGCCAGGGGAGAGGGAGAGAGAACGCGAGAGGUUGAGAAGAGAGAGGGAAGAGGAGAGGAUGAGGGAACGCCGCAAGAGCCAGAGUCCGAGCGGAGCUGAAGGCGAAAAACAGAAGAAGAAACCAGAGGAACCUCCCGCUAAGCUGUUGGACGAUUUGUUCCGGAAAACCAAGGCACAGCCGGCUAUAUACUGGUUACCGCUGACCACGGAACAGAUCGCGGAGAAGGAGGCGCAGCGACGCCAGAAGAUGGCCGAGGUGGAGCGCCUUCAGGCCGAGAUGAAGGCAGCCAAGGAGAAGGAGAACGAGGAAUGGGAGAAGGCCAGAGCCGAGAGGAAGAAGGAACGCGAGAAGGAAAGGGAGAAGGAGAGAGAGAGGGAAAAAGAGCGCGAGAAGGAACGAGAGCGGGAGAGAGAGAAAGAGAAGGAGAAGAACUCCCGCAAGUCCCGCUCCAGAUCGAGGUCGCGGAGGAGGAGCCGUUCCUCGAGGAGGUCGCCGCGGAGGUCCCCGAGGAGGUCGCCCCGUAGGUCACCCAGAAGGUCGCCCAGACGCUCUCCCAAGAGGUCACCCAGAAGGUCGGCAGGGAAGUCUCCUCGAAGAUCACCGCAGCGUUCCCGGCGGUCCGCCAGCAGGGAAUCGCGCCGAUCUCGCAGAAGGAGCCGCAGCCGCUCACGAUCCCGCACUUGAUUCCAUGAAGGCAUUUUGAUGAGGGGAGCUCACAACCAUGCGAAGGAAACAUGAAAGAAAGAGAGAGAGAGAGAGAGAAAGAGAGGGCUUGCAAACAUGUAAACGAACCCAUAUGCAACAGGAAGAGGAGGAGGAGGACAAGCUACUACUACCAGCUGAUUGUUGGGCCCCACCGGCUCACAGCCUCCUAGAAGCAGUACUGUACUCAAACCAAAAGAGGCUUCAGCACGCCAGCUCCGACGCACCAGUCCUCUGCCAUCCACAAGAAGAGCAUUGGGUGGUAAGGGAAGUGUUGAAAGCGUUAUGGGUGACGAGAGAGAGCUCCUGCGCUGUGAGAUUCACCGAUGACUCGUCAGGGUACCAGCGGGAACUACGAUGAUCACCAGUACUGACCAGCGUUUGUCCUAUAGCUUCCUCAUGGAAUGCCGUUCGCGAAGCUGCACAGCUUUUCAAAAUGCCUCAACAGGCCCCAAACCUAAAGGGAAAUGAGAAAUGUUUCCAUCCUUCGACGACCAGAUAAAAACAAAGAACUGUACCUGCGGGUACUCCAAAACCGUACCUGCGGGUACUCUAAAUCAGAAAUUGACAGUAGAAUGUUUUAUCCCUCUAGCGGAUCACGAUGCAGAGAUAACACAGCACUGAUGAAAUCAAGGCUCGAGUGGCUUGAAGUGAACCGGUGAUUUUGAAUCAUUGAAGUGUGUCCGAGUUUUUUAAAAUUAAAAGAUGCAGACAAAAAAGUGAUAUAGAAAAUCUGGGUUUACCGACGCGUAUCGAUUAAUUAUUGCACUUGAUCAUGGGAGAACAUAUCGAAGCACCAAGUGACUGGGACAAACAGUGAAGCAGAACCUUUCGUGCAUUGGUGACUGACUGACUGAAGGGUUGUUCGACGACCCUCUCCCCUCUGAUUGUAUGGAGUACAAAAAUUUUAGUGAUGUGUAAGCCCAGGUGGAUAAGGAGAUGGACAUCCGGGAGAUGCAUGAUGCUCUCCAAAUGUGUGAACCCACAUAUGAAGUUUAAUAAGUGCUGAUUUAUGUAGGUCUACGGAUAUAUACGUUAUACAGAUAAAACUUUUCAGUUUAGAGUAUUUUGAUGUUACAUUUUCAAGUGAAUUUAUGCACUUUAGGUUUUUAUUGUUUGAGAGAGAUCUAAAGAUUUCUUCAGUUGUGAUGACUUGUGGAUGAUUGUUUAUAAUGGAAUAAAGUAACACCCUUA